rnacentral:lncRNA from 1 species
AAAUGCUUGCACUUUUUUUUUCUUUCGUUUCUUAAAAAAAAUAGAAAAUAGAUGAAAAUAGAAGAGAGAACACAGAACAGAGAAGGUGAGCAACGGUAAUCUCAGUCAGAUCGGAACCGGAGAAUCAUCGAUGACAAGAUUUGAAGGAUAUUUCCCACCAUAUAGAGAGAGUGAGAAAAAAGAAGAUGAAGAUCUAGAAAAAAAAUCAGGUAGAGAAGAGAGAACAAUACUUCUGUCAUGCAUACUCUCAAGAAUCAAGAAGAAGACUUUAGACUUGUUUAUUUACAUGUUACAAUAAAAGAAAAUAAGUGAAUGAAUUAUAUGACCAACCCUUAUUAAUUACUAUUACUAGUAGCUAGUAGAAUACAGUAUGUGGGAAAGUGGAAACGGAAACUGGAUAUUGAAUUGGAGUGUCUUGGAAAUAUAGCUAGCUAUAUGUGACUUAGUGGGUGUUUUUGUGAGUUCCAAGACCAUGUAGGAGUAGGUAACUAUGAGUUGGCAACAAGUUAUCACUUGUUUGCUUUUUCUAAAAGUUGUUGAUUGCACAAAGCUACAGUAGUAGGACACGUUAAAGGUAAUUCUUUUUUAGGUGUUAUGAUUUUUUUAUAAUCUGAUUUUUUUUA